GCAUCUAUGGUCCAGCGGUAGGAUAUUUGCCUUCCAAGAUAGUUAAGUCUAUCGGCGAGCAAAUGGCUCGGGUUCGACUCCCGGUGGAUGCA